AUUCUUCCACUAGCAGCCUUCAGAUGAAGAUGUAGAACUCUCAGCUCUGCCUGCACCAUGCCAGCCUGGAUGCUGCCAUGUUCCUGUCUUGAUGAUAAUGGUGGACUGAACCUCUGAACCUGAACAGAUGCUGAAAUCCCAGGACAGACACGGCAGCAGCAGGGGGUGACUCAGAGGAACUGGAAUGAUCUCUCCAAGAACUGCCAAGGCCCACAGGAGAGCCCCGCUGGAAUCGCCUGUCUCUGGGGGGCUCCAGAAGAAAAGGGACAGUCAUGAGUGCAGCUGUGACCUGGGCUCUGAAUUAGAGAGGUGCAGCCCCCCCAAUAUCACACAAGUACACAAUCCUGGAGGAAGCAGAGGAAAGAGAAUCCCAAAGACUACAUGUUGGUUUUGUCUUUAAGGAUUUAUUUUGAUAUUUAUUCGUGUGUGUGUGUGUGUGUGUGUGUGUGUGUGUGUGUGUGUGUGUAUGUAUGUAUGUAUGUGUGUGUGUGUGACACAUGUAUGUAGUCCUUGUGGGGCCCAGAGAGAGGAGAGAGCUUUGGAGGCCCUGCAGCUAGGGUUAGAGUUACAGGUGACUGUGAGCUGCCUCACUUCCAUGGUGUCCAUUAAGCUCAGGUUCUCUGGAAGUGAAGCAAGCGCUCCCCCCCCCUUUCUCCCUCCCCUCUUUCCUUGAUUUUUCAAGACAGGGUUUCUUUGUAUAGUCCUGGCUGUCCUGGAACUCAUUUUGUACAUUAGGCUGGCCUCGAACUCAGAGAGAUCCAACUGCUUUUAUCUUUCAAGUGCUGGAACUAAAGAUAUGCGCCACCACCUCCUGGCUCGAAGCAAGCUCUUUUUUCUUUUGUUUUUCAAGACAGGGUUUCUUCUGUGUAGCCCCGACUGUCCUGGAACUCACUCUGUGGACCAGGCUGGCCUCCAACUCAGAAAUCCACCUGCCUCUGCCUCCCAAGUGCUGGGAUUAAAGGCGUGCGCCACCACUGCCUCGCGCAAGCUCUUAUAAAUGGUGAGCUGGUGAACCAUCUCUUCAGCCCUUGUUUUUAUUUUAUUAUUUUGUGGAUUUUGUUGUUAUUUUUUUAAAUAAAUAUUUUAAUUUAUUUUAUGUAUAUGAGUACACUGUAGCUGCCUUCAGAAACACCAGAAGAGGGCAUCAGAUCCCAUUACAGAUGGUUGUGAGCCACCAUGUGGUUGCUGGGAAUUAAACUCAGGACCUUUGGAAGAACAGCUGGUGCUCUUAACCACUGAGCCAUCUCUCCAGCCCGUGUUUUGUUUUAUUUUGUUUUGUUUAGACAGGGUCUUUCUAUGUCAUUCUGGCUGCUGUAACUCACUGUGUAGACCAGGCCAGCCUCAAACUAACAGAGAUCUCACUGCCUCUACCUCCCAAGUACCAGGAUUAAAGGUAUGUGCCACCAAGCCUAGGCCUUGUUUUGCCUUUUGAGACAGAAUCUCCCUAUGUAUCCCAGGUUGUCUUCAAACUUGCAAUCCUCCUGCCUUAGUUCUUUUCAGAAGCUAGGAUUACAGGCACGUACCAGUAUACCUAGCUCUGUGCCCCAUAUUUUGUGAGGCUUCAUGUGUGUGUAGGUGCCCAUGUGUGGAGGCCACCGGCCAAGCUUAGGUGUCAUCGUCAAGAAUGCUGCCCACCUGCUUGAUAAUGGGUCUCUUACUGACCCAGAGCUCCCAGUUAAACUAGAAUGGUUGACCAGCAAGCCCCAGAGAUCCUCAUAUGGCUGUCUCCCAAGGAUGACUGCCCAUGCUUGGUGCUUUAUGUGGAUCUGAAGGCUGAACUCAGGUCUAAGGCUUGUGAGGCAAGCUCUUUAUUGACUACUGAGCCACGGCUUCUUCACUCUGGGCAGACACCAGGCUAAUUAUCUGCUGCUGCACCCAUAUGCUUUUCCCGGCCUGGCUGUGAACUGGAAAGUCCUCUUUGGUGAUACCUUGUGAAUGACACUGCCCAGCCUCAUCUCCAUGUGGGAGUCUGCAUGUCUGCUUGGGAGCUCACUAAAGGUAUAACUGUCAGGUCAGAAGUCCCCCUGCCACCUAAUGGCAAUGCUGGUGACACUGUCCUAAAUACAAGGACUCUGGCCCAGUAAACAAAAGGACUGUUAUUGGGUGAACAAGCAUAAAGAUUUCUGCUCACUAGAAAAAGUAGAUCUCGGGGGCUGGAGAGAUGGCUCGGCGGUGAAGAGCACUGACUGCUCUUCCAGAGGUCCUGAGUUCAAUUCCCAGCAACCACAUGGUGACUGACAACCACAUGUAAUGGGAUCUGAUGCCCUCUUCUGGUGUGUCUGAAGAGAGUGAUAGUGUACUCAUAUACAUAAAAUAAAUAAAUCUUUGAAAAGAAAAGAAAAAGU
rnacentral:lncRNA from 1 species